UUGGAAGGUCGUUUUUAAGCUUGAGAAUGGUAAUAGACAUCCAGGUGGAGAUGACUAGGCGGCAGAUGAGUCUGGAGUUCAGGGCAGCUCUCCAUCGAUAUUUCUAGCUCGCUUUGUCUACAGUCAUGGAAGAAAUAAAGGUAAAAUGAGCUAACAAAUGUCACAACAAAUUGAAAAGAAACCAACAACUAACUGACUUGAGUGCUUCUUGGACAACCCUUCUUGCUUUUCUUCAACGUUUUUUGCCAUUCUUCCUUUGUCCAGUGGUGAAUUAACAGAACCUUGUUUUCUGUUCUAAGCAAUUACCCUCGAGACGGAAGUCCUGAUAAACAAGAAAGAGAUGCUGGGGAUAGAGGGUGGGUGUGUGGGGAGACACAGAAAGCACCCCUGACCUUUCACCCUGGGGUUUGACACUGUGCGUCCCCAGGCCAGCACUGGCCCUUGGGAGGAUAACUGACUCCUCACUGCAAUGAGAGGUUGUGACCAAUUCUGUUCCCUGCUGAGUUCUCUGCACCCCAG
rnacentral:lncRNA from 1 species